UAUAGAUAAUAGGUAUAUAUACUAUGAUGAGCAUACUUGUAUAGACACACAAAAUGUAGAAAACGUUGAGCUAUCAAAAAAAAAUCAAAUAAACAAAGUAACUUAUAAUAACAUUAAAGACGAGUUUGGUAACAAACUUACAAAUACUAAUAAUGUAGUUAGCGAAAAGAAUCAGCACAUAAAUAGUGAUGAUCAAUAUGUGAAAAAUAAUUUAAAAGAGACAAAAACAGAAGAAGAAGAUGCGCUUAACCUUUUGAAUAAUAAUGACAAGUAUAAAUAUGAUCGAAGUUACGGAUACACUCGAAAAUGCCAUGUAUCAUCCACAUAUACGGGACCAAAACACGAAUCAAAAGCAGAACUAAAAUCAGAUUUUGUCGACAUAAAUAAUACUUACUUUUAUUUCAAAAAGGUAAAUAUUACAAACAUAAAUAAGGAAAAUAUAAAUGAUGAUAUAUAUGAAGAACUAGUGCUACUCAAACAAUUGUCUUUACAACAAGCGGACACAAUCGGAUAUAACAUAUAUAAAUAUUUUUUAAACAUUAUAACAUAUGUAGAUAGGAAAAAAUUCAUAGAUGAUUUUUAUCUAGUUGAUUAUAUUAAUAAUAUUUGGGUAACCAGAAAUGUACAUAAGUAUUUUUAUUUUUUGAAUUCUUUAUUUCAUGAAAUGAAAAAAAUAUCACAAAAAUUACUUAAACUGAAUUACAAAAUAGAUGUUAUAGGUCAUAUAGAUGAACAAAAAAAAAUGAAUUAUUUUGAUAGACACGAUUUAUUUAGUAAAGUUAUUAAAAAAACAAAUUUUAUACCUAAUUAUAUAUGUAAACAUAAUUAUAUUUAUUCAAAUAAUAUUUUAAACUUGUAUCAAUAUGAUAUUAAUACUAAUUUAUAUGUCAACAAAUUUGAGCAAACGUUUUUUAACGUUACAAUUGACGAUUUUUUAGACUAUGAAAAAAAAAAAAAAUUAAACAUACAUUAUGACACUCAACGGUUUACACCUUUUUGUAUGUAUGCCAACACAUAUGAAAAAGAAAACGAUUUGAAGAAGGUCAUGCGGGUUACUUAUGGAGGUGGAGUUGUUGCAGAAGGUGCCACUACAAGUGCUACUGCUGAUGCUACGACAAGUGCUACUACCGGUGCUACGAAAAGUGCUACUACCGGUGCUACGAAAAGUGCUACUACGGAUGUUAGUAUGGGUGCUAAUAACUCAAACGUAACUCCCACGACUAGCAAUAGUAGCAGUGACACAUACCCAAACGAAAACUUAAACGAAAACUUAAACGAAAACCCAAAUGAAAACGAGUCGGAAAAAAACAUAAACACUCAAAAUGAUGAAUACGCGAACAAACCCAACAUAGCUGAAACGAACCCAAACGAUAUGUCGUUUUUAGAAAAAAUAAAAAAAAACCCAAGUUUAAAAUAUGCGUUUAUAGAUAAAAUAUGCCAACAGAUGUGCACUGAGUUCAUGGAUAUAGGUGUUUUAGAUAAUGAAAAUAAAAUAGAUUUAAAUAAAAUUGAUGAUAUAAAAAAUGAUAAAAAUAAUGUGCUAUAUAAAAAAGUGUAUGCAAUGCGAGAUUAUUUUUAUACAAUAUAUUAUGAUGAUUAUAACCCUAAUUUAGAUAUAUACAACUUGGAAACAUUUAUAGAUGCAGAAUAUAGGAUAUAUUCUUAUAAAAAAGAUUUAGAUGUACUGUUUAAGGAUUGGGUAGUGAAUGGAAAUAAAGAAAUGCCGAUUGUGCGAUUUUCAAAGAAAGACGUGGAGCUAGCUAAGUUGAGAUAUAUGUCUAAGCGAAAACGAAAACAAAUGGAGUUUGAAGCGGCGUUUUUCGAACGGCACGGAGAUCAGAAGACUCAAAUAGGAAAAGAAAAAACCCAUGUGGAAAAAAAAUGUAACGAUUUAGAUAAACAUAGUUACGAUAAGAACGGGUAUGACAAAAGCAGGGACGACAAAAGCAGGGACGACAAAAACGGGGAUGACAAAAAGGGGCACAACAAAAACGUGAAAAAAAUUAUAAGUUGCCUAAUAAAAUGGAAAGUAACAAAAGAAAAUGACAGUAGUAAAAAUAAUAUAAAAGAUACAGAUACAGAAGAUAUAAGCUU
ensembl:lncRNA